GACGAACGCUGGCGGCGUGCUUAACACAUGCGAGUCGAACGGAAAGGCCCUGCUUUUGUUGGGUGCUCGAGUGGCGAACGGGUGAGUAACACGUGAGUAACCUGCCCUUGACUUUGGGAUAACUUCAGGAAACUGGGGCUAAUACCGGAUAGGAGCUUCUGCUGCAUGUGGGGGGUUGGAAAGUUUCGGCGGUGGGGGAUGGACUCGCGGCUUAUCAGCUUGUUGGUGGGGUAGUGGCUUACCAAGGCUUUGACGGGUAGCCGGCCUGAGAGGGUGAACGGCCACAUUGGGACUGAGAUACGGCCCAGACUCCUACGGGAGGCAGCAGUGGGGAAUAUUGCACAAUGGGCGGAAGCCUGAUGCAGCAACGCCGCGUGCGGGAUGACGGCCUUCGGGUUGUAAACCGCUUUCGCCUGUGACGAAGCGUGAGUGACGGUAAUGGGUAAAGAAGCACCGGCUAACUACGUG
rnacentral:rRNA from 1 species